AUCUAAACAUGGAAAUAACAAACAAAUACUAAUACAGAUCUCCACUUCUGGGUAAUUAUCUAAACAUGGAAAUAACAAACAAAUACUGAUACAGAUCUCCACUUCUGGGUAACUAUCUAAACAGGGAAAUAACAAACAAAUACUAAUACAGAUCUCCACUUCUGGGUAAAUAUCUAAACGUAGAAAUAACAAACAAAUACUAAUACAGAUCCCUACUUGAGGGUAAAUAUCUAAACAUGGAAAUAACAAACAGAUCUCUACUUGUAGGUAAAUAUCUAAACAUGGAAAUAAAAGAGAUGCUGAUACAGAUCCCUACUUGAGGGUAAAUAUCUAAACAUGGAAAUAAAAUAAAUACUGGUACAGAUCCCUACUUGUAGGUAAAUAUCUAAACGUAGAAAUAACAAACAGAUCUCUACUUGUAGGUAAAUAUCUAAACAUGGAAAUAAAAGAGAUACUGAUACAGAUCCCUACUUGUAGGUAAAUAUCUAAACGUAGAAAUAACAAACAGAUCUCUACUUGUAGGUAAAUAUCUAAACAUGGAAAUAAAAGAGAUACUGAUACAGAUCCUUACUUGAGGGUAAAUAUCUAAACGUAGAAAUAACAAACAGGUACUGAUACAGAUCCCUACUUGAGGGUAAAUAUCUAAACGUAGAAAUAACAAACAGAUCUCUAUUUGUAGGUAAAUAUCUAAACAUGGAAAUAAAAGAGCUACUGAUACAGAUCCCUACUUGAGGGUAAAUAUCUAAAAGUUGAAUUAACAAACAGGUACUGAUACAGAUCCCUACUUGAGGUAAAUAUCUAAACGUAGAAAUAACAAACAGAUCUCUACUUGUAGGUAAAUAUCUAAACGUAUAAACAAGAUAUAGAUACUGAUACAGAUUCCCACUUAUUAUGUCAACAUAACUGAUAGUGUUUUUUAUAACUGAAUUGGCUGAUAUUUUUUUAAAUGUAGGUAUUAAAUAAACAUUAUAAAACGUUA